rnacentral:tRNA from 1 species
GUUAGGAUAGCUCAGUUGGUAGAGCAGAGG